ensembl:lncRNA
AUAUAUAUCUGUGUCUAUGUGGGCGUGCACAUGCUGUGUGUGAGGGCUUUUCCCAACAUUACCCUGAGUGGUGGCUAGGGGGUGCACUGUGGACACAGUGUGUGUAUGGGCAGAGGGAGUGAGAGAGAGAGAGAGAGAGAGUGUGUAUCUCAGUAAUGUAUUCCUGCCUGUGCCUGGGCUGGUCACAUGGGGAGAGCAGCCUGUUUAAAACAGCCUCGGCUCGCUCAGUCAGAGCAGUGCGAGACACAGAGACAGACGCACCCGUUCUCUCUCUUCCUCUCUUCACGCACGCGCGCGCACACACACACAUGCUCACGCAGGCAGACGGCAACUUUCCUCUAGUGGACUGACACCACACACUCGCCAGGAUAGACACACUCCCCUUACUACAGUGGAGAAGAGGAUAACGAUUGACAGCUCUGAAAAAAAGAAAUACAGAAAAAGAAAAAGGUUCCCAGGUGAAGAGGAGGAACGUGCUGACAUUUUGCCCUGUCAGAACCAACUGUGCAAGGCCACUCAGCCGAUAGCCAGACCUACAUGAAGG